rnacentral:misc_RNA from 1 species
GUUUAAACAUCACUAAACUGCUGUAAGCUCUGUUUAAUAGACUUUGUAAGUAGUCUGUAUAAAACUGUGGUGUUAAUCAUGGAUAUCUAGAAACACUCUUACCUUCUACCAAUUGCAGGUAUACUAUAUAUAAGAAUAAUCAUGUCGCUACAACAGAUAUUAUAGAUCCAAAACUACUUAUUAAGUUUCAACCAGCAAAUGCGUCAGGAUAAUCACUUAUUCUUCUAGGCAUACCUUGUAAUCCUAAGAAAUGUUGAGGGAAGAAUGUAACAUUAACUCCUAUAAAUAAUAUUCAGAAAUGAACUUUACUUAGCAUUAUGUUAUAAUCUAAACCUAACAUUUUUGGUAUUCAAAAGUAUCAACCACUGAACAAUGCGAAAACUGCACCCAUACUUAAA